rnacentral:rRNA from 1 species
UACGGGGGGGAGCAAGCGUUGUUCGGAUUUACUGGGCGUAAAGGGCGCGUAGGCGGUCGUGACAAGUCACUUGUGAAAUCUCCGGGCUUAACUCGGAACGGUCAAGUGAUACUGUCGGACUAGAGUACAGAAGGGGCAACUGGAAUUCUCGGUGUAGCGGUGAAAUGCGUAGAUAAUCGAGAGGAACACCUGCGGCGAAGGCGGGUUGCUGGGCUGAUAACUGACGCUGGAGGCGCGAAAGCCCAGGGGAGCGAACGGG